ensembl:ncRNA T19B10.13 ncRNA
AAACAGUGCUUAUUUGGAAGAAAAAGACAAAACUGUGCGAAGGUGGAGGAUAUAGGACAAGCCUGCCCCGGAUAAGCCGAUAAUCCUCGCUUUCUUUACUACUUCAUUCCUCACCUCCAAACUGUCUCUUUCUGGCUAUUCAGAAGGUGAAGCGGAGAUGAUGAGGAUCCGUUUGGCA